AGGUGAGGGCGAUCUGGCUGCAGCAUCUAUCACUGCAUUAAUCACUACGGUGAAUUGUCUGAUCUGGCUGGCUAGGUGCAUGUUCCCUUCCUCCCUGGACACUCUCUAUGUGUCCCUCCUAGAAGCCAUGAGCUGAGGCAAAGAGAACAAGCACCCCUGACAGAGGAGGACCAUUCCUUAGUCAAGGGUAUAUGAGUAGCUGUGCUCCCCUUCUACAACCUCCAAAUAAGCUCUUAAGGAUAUAAAAGACAGAUAAAAAUCUUGUUUUCUAAAGAUUAAUAGGGAGCAAUACAUAAAAAUAAAGUUACUUAUACUUUCAUGACUGAACAAUUCUAGUCUACUAUAUUU
rnacentral:snRNA from 1 species